GUACUGUUAACAAUUAUUAGUAGUAGAAGUGCAGUGUUGUAUGCGUUGAUAAUUAAAACAGUAUCAUUUGCCUUCAAAGAUAUGUCAGACUGUGGGAUACCAAGAUAGGAGGAAGGAUGACCAAAUGUAUUUUAAGGUGUAAUGUGAUAUGCUGCAGUUAAGGCACCGUGGUACAGUGAAUGAAAGAUAUGGUGAUUCUGAGAAGAGAAUCAGAGAAGCCUCCCAGUGAAGAUAACAUUGCUGAUGUGCGUUCAAUGAAAAGGAAGAUUUCAACAAGUGUCUCUGUAUAAUUUAGGCUUAUUUCCAAUGUGUCAUUUUAUAAACAGCAUGAAAUAUGGAUUCAGACAGUUGUGGAUUACCUUGAGAAAUAUUUGUUUUUAUUAUUCUGCAGAUGUCUAUUAAGUCAGACACUUGGGUAGCCACAAGGAAUAAAACAGUAAAUGGAAUGUUAUUCGUGACCUACCAGGAGGCUGUAAUCUAGGGAAGGAAAAAGGCCAAUAACCAUAGGUGGAUAAGUGUCACUGUAAACCUAGGCAAAUGAUUUGAGAUCUCUGUAAGUACUACAGGAAGACAAUGAUAGAACCAACUCAGUGUGGGCAGUGGGCAGGCAAAAAAACUGAGGAAGUUUGUACCGCGUUUUAACAACUAGGAGUUCACGAGGCAGGAAAGAAAUGGAGUCCAGCCUAUGGAAUGACACAAAGUUAUGAAACCCAGUGGUGUGUGUCAGGAUCCACAGACAGGUUCAUGUGACUAAAAUGUAUAAUUAAAGGGAAUUGGCAAGACAUCAAAAUAAGAUACUUAGCUUGAAGAACUAAAGCAAACAUUGUUAAUAAUACAAAGCUAGUAAAGGCAAAUCUCUCGUUGACGCCUGAAACAAUUCAAAGGGCUGGCUAACUGCACUUCUCAACAUUAUCUUUACAUCUGUGCGCGACAGCUUAGAACUCACUGCUGUGGGGUAUUGAGUAAAACAUAAGG
rnacentral:lncRNA from 1 species